rnacentral:rRNA from 1 species
AACGAACGCUGGCGGCAGGCCUAACACAUGCAAGGCGAGCGAGAUCUUCGGAUCUAGCGGCGGACGGGUGAGUAACGCGUGGGAAUAUGCCCUUCUCUACGGAAUAGUCCCGGGAAACUGGGUUUAAUACCGUAUACGCCCUUUGGGGGAAAGAUUUAUCGGAGAAGGAUUAGCCCGCGUUGGAUUAGGUAGUUGGUGGGGUAAUGGCCUACCAAGCCGACGAUCCAUAGCUGGUUUGAGAGGAUGAUCAGCCACACUGGGACUGAGACACGGCCCAGACUCCUACGGGAGGCAGCAGUGGGGAAUCUUAGACAAUGGGGGCAACCCUGAUCUAGCCAUGCCGCGUGAGUGAUGAAGGCCUUAGGGUCGUAAAGCUCUUUCGCCAGGGAUGAUAAUGACAGUACCUGGUAAAGAAACCCCGGCUAACUCCGUGCCAGCAGCCGCGGUAAUACGGAGGGGGUUAGCGUUGUUCGGAAUUACUGGGCGUAAAGCGCACGUAGGCGGAUUAGUCAGUCAGAGGUGAAAUCCCAGGGCUCAACCCUGGAACUGCCUUUGAUACUGCUAGUCUUGAGUUCGAGAGAGGUGAGUGGAAUUCCGAGUGUAGAGGUGAAAUUCGUAGAUAUUCGGAGGAACACCAGUGGCGAAGGCGGCUCACUGGCUCGAUACUGACGCUGAGGUGCGAAAGCGUGGGGAGCAAA